AUUAUGCUACCUUUGCACAGUUAAAAUACUGCGGCCAUUUAAAAAUUUUCAGUGGGCAGGUUAGACUUUAAAUUUAAUUCAAAAAGACAUGUUUUUGUUAAACAGGCGACAUUAUUUUUGCCGAAUUCUUUACCUAAACUUAUCAUUUAAAUUUAUUUUACAAUAAAAUAUACUAAUUCUAUCAUUAUUUCUUAAUUUUAAAAAUUAAAAUUAAUAUCCCAAUAAAAAUUUAAAAUAUAGAAUAAAUAAUUUAAUUUAUAAAAUAAAUUAUAACACAAUUUUUAAUAAUUGCUAAUUCUAAGCAUAUAUAUUUGAAAUUGAUUUAUUAUUUUUAAAAAUUUAUUUUAUAGCUUAUCCCAUAAAAUAUUAAAAUUAUAAAUUAUUUAAUUAAAAAAUUUUUUAAAUAAAUUUAUAAUUUCUAAAUUAAAUUUAUUUCUUGAAAAACUAGAUACCUUUAAAAACGAAUAACAUUUCAUUUCUAAUAUAAUAUUCAAAAUAAUUUUAUUACAUUAACUUUUAUAUUAUAUUAACUCUUUUAAAAUCGAGAAAAAUAUAUUUAAAUAUUUUUUAUUUAAUAAACGCUGAUACACAAGGUACAAUAAAUUAAAUUUUCUUUUAUAAUAAAAAUUUUUCAAAAUAUUUCAAUUUUCUUUUACAAUACUAUUAAACUAUUAUUAAAAUUAUUUUUUCUUUAAACAAUACUAAAACUUUUUCCUAUAUAAUUAUUUUUAAUAUUUUAAAAUAAAAUAAAUAAAAUUAAUAAAUAAAAUCUAA
rnacentral:rRNA from 1 species